rnacentral:rRNA from 1 species
GUUCUAAGGGCGGUGAAGUCAGACCGGAAGGACUGGUGGAGCGCUUAGAAGUGAGAAUGCCGGUAUGAGUAGCGAAAGAAGGGUGAGAAUCCCUUCCACCGAAUAUCUAAGGUUUCCUGAGGAAGGCUCGUCCGCUCAGGGUUAGUCGGGACCUAAGCCGAGGCCGAUAGGCGUAGGCGAUGGACAACAGGUAGAGAUUCCUGUACCAGUGCUAAUUGUUUAACCGAUGGGGUGACACAGAAGGAUAGGGAAUCGCACGAAUGGAAAUGUGCGUCCAAGCAGUGAGUGUGAGAAGUAGGCAAAUCCGCUUCUCGCGAAGCAUGAGCUGUGAUGGGGAAGGAAAUUAAGUACGGAAGUUCCUGAUUUCACGCUGUCAAGAAAAGCCUCUAGGAAGAUUAGUACUGCCCGUACCGCAAACCGACACAGGUAGAUGAGGAGAGACUC